GUCCUUUUGUGCAUAAUUUAAGGUUUAACCUGCCCACUGAAAUUUUUAAAUGGCCGUGGUAUUUUGACCGUGCUAAGGUAGCAUAAUCAUUAGUUUUUUAAUUGAAAACUGGAAUGAAAGGUUGGAUAAGAAAAUGACUGUCUCUAUUAAAUUUUAUUAGAAUUUUAUUUUUAAGUUAAAAAGCUUAAAUAAAGUUAAAAGACGAGAAGACCCUAUAGAGUUUAAUUAUUUAAUAAAAAUAAUAUUUUAGUAUUUAUUUAUUAAUUAUAUUAAAUAAUUUAAUUGGGGUGAUUGAAAAAUUAGAAUAACUUUUUUUAUUUUAAAACAUAAAUUUAUGAGUGAAUGAUCCAAUAUUUUUGAUUAUAAGAUAAAAUUACCUUAGGGAUAACAGCGUAAUUUUUUUUUAGAGUUCGUAUUAAAAAAAGAGAUUGCGACCUCGAUGUUGGAUUAAAAUAAAUUUUUGGUGUAGAAGCUACAAUAUUAGGUCUGUUCGACCUUUAAAAUUUUAC
rnacentral:rRNA from 1 species